GCUCCAAUAGCGUAUAUUAAAGUUGUUGCAGUUAAAAAGCUCGUAGUUGAAUUUCUGGGGGCGUCCGCUGGGUCCGCUUUUGUGGUCACCGGCGGCGUGUCCAUCCUUCCGGUGUGCGGGCGCAAGCUCGUACGCUCAGGGAUCCUUUACUGUGAAAAAAUUAGAGUGUUUAAAGCAAGCCUGGCUUGAAUACAUUAGCA
rnacentral:rRNA from 1 species